AUUGAACGCUGGCGGCAUGCCUUACACAUGCAAGUCGAACGGCAGCACGGGAGCAAUCCUGGUGGCGAGUGGCGAACGGGUGAGUAAUAUAUCGGAACGUGCCCAGUAAUGGGGGAUAGCCCGGCGAAAGCCGGAUUAAUACCGCAUACGACCUACGGGUGAAAGCAGGGGAUCGCAAGACCUUGCGUUAUUGGAGCGGCCGAUAUCAGAUUAGCUAGUUGGUGGGGUAAAGGCCUACCAAGGCGACGAUCUGUAGCUGGUCUGAGAGGACGACCAGCCACACUGGGACUGAGACACGGCCCAGACUCCUACGGGAGGCAGCAGUGGGGAAUUUUGGACAAUUGGCGCAAGCCUGAUCCAGCCAUGCCGCGUGCGGGAAGAAGGCCUUCGGGUUGUAAACCGCUUUUGUCAGGGAAGAAACGCUCUGGGCUAAUACCCUGGGGUAAUGACGGUACCUGAAGAAUAAGCACCGGCUAACUACGUGCCAGCCGCCGCAGUAAGAC
rnacentral:rRNA from 1 species